GCGAGUUCAGCUCUCUAAAACCAUUGUGAAAGCACCCACAGCGUUGCUUCGGCGGGGUAACUCCCGCCGGCAGUAUCAAACUCUGUAGUCAUCGUAUCUCUGAGUAAACUUUUAAUAAGUCA
rnacentral:misc_RNA from 1 species